GAAAACCAAACAUGGUCAAACAUUAGGUGCUCACAACUGCCCUUCUUUGCUUAGAAAUAUGAAGAGUUUUCAGAAAAAGACAAAGUGGGCCGUGUGACUAAUUUUUGACCAUAUAAUUAUUCAGAAGAGGAAAAAAACAAAAAUAAAAGGUGCAACCGAGUCGUGAUUUUGGACAACCUACAUAUCUCGGGUUAUAAGGGAAUUAGGUCGCGUGUAGUUUAAGAAGUUUUGGUAGAAUGAUGAGUUCGAGAGCCGAGUGAGGUUCAGUCGAGGCUCCGGUCUGUGGUCCUGUUAUUACAUCAAAAUCAAAAUUAAAACACUAACUAAGCCUAUCAGCUACGAGUUACAAGAUUCCUAUCUAUGAGUUCUCGGAAGCACGAUCUUGAGUCUUGGUUGGUUCUUCAUGUGGAUUCUAAUCUGAAUAUUGAUGAUUGUUAGCUGCAGGUGCUCGUUCAUUCCUUUUUCAACUUCUCGGAUCAAGGAGGGACAUGCAAAGCUUGUGACUUCAAUCACGUCUUGAGCAGUCCACGUUUUUUCUCUGCUUCUGCACUUUGAGUUCACUUCUUUUUCUUUUUCUUCUUUUUUCUUUUAUUAUGGAUUGAGACUCCUUCAUUUUAUCGUCUCGAACUCUUUGCCUCAAAGUAAAACCUACUCAGACACCAAAACAAACAAACAAACAAACACAAUGCUUCUACCCCAGUUUUUACUAAGAAAAUUUCAUGAGUUAUUAGCAACAAAACUCUAUUCUAAUUUAUUAUUGGAAGCAAAGAAAAAAGGUCGGGAUUGUUUAUCCAUGGGAAAAAAAUUAGGGAGUGGAGACCAUAUAUCUAAUAAAUAAAAUCAGUUAGGGAUUGGAGGCCCUAUGUUGGAAAAUCAUCAAUUAGGAAGUGGUUACCCUUUGUUGGCAUCAAGGAGUGGUUACCCUUUAUUGGUAUCAGGUUAUGCUGAAAUCAACUAGGGAGUGGAGACCAUAUGUAGGCAUCAACUAGAGAAUGCAGACCUUAUGUUGGUAUCAGGUUAUGCUGGCAUCAACUAGGGAGUGUAGAACCUAUGUUGAUAUCAACUAGGGAGUGGUGACCCUAUGUUGGCAUCAGGUUAUGCUGGUGAUAACUAGGGAUUAUGGUUCAUUUUACGCUCCUUCUUAAUUGAGUUUUGAUUAAGAGUGUAUACAAAAUAUUCCCAAAAGCUUACCUGUUAUACUUGUUUGCAAGGUUUGGUCAAGACGGUAAGUAGGUAACAAUUACUCUGAACCAGCUCAAGAAGGAGUGAGAUAUACACAAGUACCAAGAACAAGUCCAAGCACAGUACAACAGAUCCAUUGCGGCCACAUUACAUUUAGUGCGGUCCGCAGUGAGGAAAAUUAGAGAUGUGUUUAUUUUGGAAACUCAAGAAAUGCAUCCGCAAAGAAUUUUGUGUGGACCGCAUUAGCCUCACCGCGGCCGCAAUCGACAUUGUGCGGUCAGCAAUAAUGGGUUCAGAGAGUUGAGAAUUUUGAGGUUAAUGCUAGUGCAUUCCGCGGUCCUUUUUGUGCAGACCACAGUAGAAGCCACCACGACUGCAGUACAUUUUAUGUGGCCCGUGGUGACCAAGUUCAGAGAGCAGAUACCUAUACCCAUGAAGUCUCACCGCGGCCGUACUCGAUUUCUUGUGGUCACCGGUACCCCCGCAGGGGUAUUUUUAUCCAGAAAAUUCGGCCUAGUAUAAAUACUUUCUUUUCCCAUUUUUAGGUCAUCAGUUGUAAUCUGACUUUGGGCUAAGCACGCGAACAACUGUUCUUAACCAUUUUGAGUAAUUUUAUAGUGGUGUUAUCAUUGAAUCUUCAAUUUUUAGCUAGUAAUUAAAUCUUAUGGAUUUUUCUUCAUAUAUUUAUCAGUUGUUUUCUAUUACUAUGAGUAUCUAGACCAAUUAGCUAAGGUUGUGGCUCAACCCUAGUGUGGAUAUUUGAUGGGUCUUGAGUUUUAAGGCUCGAAUGUCUAUGGGUGUUUGGUAUUUGGACUAAUUUGUGUUUUCCAUGUUGCAUUAGUGGUUGCAAACACUAAUUUGUCCCUAUUUGACUUGGUCUCUUCUUGAGAAAGAGAUCUUGAGUCUAGAAAAUUAGUCCAACAAGGAAUUGGGGUGUAUUCAAGAGACUGAUAGCCCCAAUUAAUGGGUUAAACCAAGAUAUAGUAAUACUCAGCUUGAACCUAAAUUGCUUGUACAAAUUAUCAUAUACAAUUGGUCUUGAGAAAGUUAAUUAGGGAAAAAUCAUUCAAACACUUGAGAGAUAUAGAGUGAGAACUUUCGUGCAUUGGUUAUAUCGUAAUCCCCAACAUGAAAACCUUACCUUAGAUUCGAGAACCCGUCAAGUAUUCACCUAGGAAAAAGUCACUUCCCUAGUGCCUUUUUAAAGAAUUAGCUAACCUUUCAGGUAUAUUACUCUUAGCUUAAUUUAGCAUUUUAUUAGCAUAAUAUUAGAAGUAAUCUAAAUACCAACUAUGAUUGGAAGUGCAGUUCAGAGCACUAAACACCUCUAGUUUAGAUAGGAAUCCAAUUCCCACUUCUAGCUCCAUCUGGAUUCGAUCCCGACCAUCUGGGGUAAAAGCUGCUUUGACUACUCUCGUUACUUUGUAUUGGUGCAGGGUUGGCUCCGAUCACUUUUUGGCGUCGUUUCCGGGGAGCUUAUGAUUUUGGUGAUCUAUCUAAAUAGUUUUGUAUAUUGUUUUUCUUUGCUUAUGUGUUACUAAUCUGUGUGUGUCACAACUUCAGGUACAAAAUAGCGGCAAACAAUGCACCUCUUGGAUAUCUUCCGCCGGGGGAAGAGGUAGAUGACAUUAUUGAUGAUGAGAUUCCAAUUGUACCUCAAGCUCAAAAGAGAGGCCAUCGGGCCAAUGAAAAUAUUCUUGGCCCUUCCCCCACCUCCAAGAGUGGCCCCUCCAGUGCUUCACAACCAAGGAUAAGUGCAAUUGUCCCACCCCGAAUCUAGGUGAGCAAUUUUCAAAUUACUUAUGUGAUGCUGACAUUGUUGGAGCAGCGAGGGUAUUUUACAGGUGCUCCCACUCAGAAUGCUUACAAACAUCUCAACGGUUUUGUGGAUACCUAUUGGGGGAGCAAGCAAACUAAUGUGUUAGAGUAUGCACUUCGGUUGAGACUAUUCCUUUUCUUACUUAGAGGGAAGGCAUUGGAUUGGCUUGAAUGACUUCCCAACUAUUCCAUAUCUACUUGAGAUGAGUUGACGUAUAAAUUCAUUGCAAAGUUUCUCUCAUUGUGGCACAUGGCAGCAUUGAGAGAUGAGAUCUUAGCUUUCAAGCAAGAGCCCACCGAACCAUUACAUGAGAUUUGAGAGAGAUAUAGAACCAUGGUAAAGGAAUGCCCCAACAAUGAUAUGACUGAGGCAAUGAUACAACAGACUUUCUACCAUGGAAUUAACAUAACAAAUCAGUGUAUAGUGAACCAACUUACUCGGGGUAAUUUCAUGAAGCUAUCUUAUGAUGAGGCUUAUGACAUUAUUAACGAGAAGGCUGACACGUCCUCCGCUUGGCAAAGUAGAGCCAAUGUGCCACAGGGUGACCCCAUAGUCACUCACUUACACAAAGAGCUACAUGAUCAUGGGCAGGCUAUAGCAGAGUUGACAAGAACAAUGACCCAGUAAGCAAAGACACAAUUAUAGCCGAGUAAAUGCUAUGGAGGGUGUCAACAUGCUAGUGAACAAAAGAAGACAAAGAGUUCAACAUAACCAAGGGAGUUCAGAUCAAUUUGACAAUGAUUGUGGUGGAUUCCAAAAUGAUGGUAAUGAUGAGCAGAAUGAAGAAGUGUAAUAUGUGAACAAUUAUCAAGGCCAAAGGGACAAUUCUUCCAACCAAAAACAAUGGAGACCCCAAGGCAAUCGGGCAAUCAACAACAAUAAGGGAAUAGUAAUUGGGGGAACAACAACAAAAAUUCCAGUUGGGGAAAUCAGAACAAUCAGGGUAAUUGGAAUGGCAACAACAACAAUUGGGGUGGUAACAACAAUCAGGGUGGUUGGGACAAUGCCAAUCAAGGAAACCGGGGGCAAGGCUUUCAAAGGCCUCAAAUAUAUCAACAACCGUACAAUCUACCCCCAUUUCCGUCCCAAGGUCCUAGUUCUUCCAACAAUGAAAUGAGGAGAAUUGAAAUGAUGUUUCAACAAAGGAUGAAAAAGCCUGCAGACUCUAAUGCUCAAUUGUCUUCCCAUAAUACUUCAAUUAGAAACUUGGAGGUUCAAUUAGGCCAAAUCUCACAGUCUAUGAAUACUCGCCCUAAGAGGGCUCUACCAAGUGAUACGGUAUUUUAACCAAAGGGUAGGAACAAUCAAGUUAUGGAGGUGACUACGAGGAGUGGACGAGGUGGUGAUGCGCAUGCCUCCAAGCAUAGUGAAAUUUUAAGUGAUGAAGUUGAGUUGCAAGAAGAUGAGAUUGCUUUGGUGGUUGAAAAUGUGAUUGAUGAGAACGUGAAUGAGUAAGUGAGGAUUGAUAUCUAAGAUGCGGAGGUGGAAACUCAGAAUUACGUGAACCCGUCUAGGGAACACAUAAUAGACAUGCCAGAAAUGGUUAUGCCAAAAGCCAAGGCUCCUUUGCCAAGGCCACCUCUACCUUAUCCUCAAAGGCUCGAAAAGUAGAAAAAUAAGAAUAAGUUUAGAAAGUUUAUUGAUAUGGUGAAGAGCUUAUCCAUUAAUUUGCCUUUGGUGGAGGCUCUAGAGAAAAUGUCGGGUUAUGCUAAAUUCAUGAAGGACUUGGUGACAAAGAAAAGAUCCAUAUAUUGCGAAACUAUCAAGAUGAUCCACCAAGUGAGUGCAAUAGUGCACUCAAUGGCACCGAAGCUAGAAGAUCCCGGUGCUUUCACCAUUCCUUGUACCAUUGGGAGUGCAGAAUUUGCUAAUGCUCUAUGUGAUUGGGGGCGAGUAUCAACUUGAUGCCCUCCUAAGUUUUCAUGGCUUUGGGUAUUGAGUAACUGAGGUUGACUUCUAUAAGAUUGUAAAUGGCAGAUAGAACUAUAAAGAGGCCAUUAGGUAUUAUUGAUGAUGUUCUUACUCGGGUGAAAAAAUUGAUCUUGCCAGGUGAUUUUGUGAUCUUGGAUUGUGAGGUAGAUUAUGAGGUUUCAAUCAUAUUGGGAAGACCUAACCAUGAUACUGGGAAGGCCUUAGUUGAUGUGGAAGUAGGGGAAUUCACCUUCCGGUAGGUGAUGAGAAAGUGGUCUUUUAUGUGUGCAAUUCAAUGAAGCAACAGUUCUGAGGUGUGCUCCUUUGUGGACCUUGUCAUGGUAGUGAUAGUUGAUGAUACUAGUGCAAUGAUCAAUGUGGAGGACCCUAUAGAGGAUAAAAAUUUGAAUCUUGAUGUAAAUGACGAUGAAGGCUGAGUGGAGUUUGUGAAUGCUUUACAUAGAAUGAGCUCUCACUCUUAUGAGCCUAGGAAACUCUCUUUGGAUCUUGAGAAUAGGAAGACUCCACCAACAAAACGUGUGAAUGCUUUACAUUGAAUGGGCUCUUUCUCUUAUGAGCCUAGGAAACUCUCUUUGGAUCUUAAGGAUAGGAAGACUCCACCAACAAAACCUUCAAUUAAGGAACCUCCAGUGCUGGAGUUGAAGCCGUUUCCUCCACAACUCAGGUAUGAGUUCUUAGUCCCUAGUUCAACUUUGCCGGUUAUUAUUUCCUCUUGUCUUACUAACAUGUAGGUUGAUACCACAUUGAAGGUGCUCCAAAAGAAAAAAAAAAGGCAAUUGGAUAGACUUUAGCUGAUAUUCGGGAAAUAAGCCCCACAUUCUGUAUACAUAAGAUUAUUCUAGAAGAUGAUGCAAAGCCCUCAUUGGAACAUCAAAGGAGGUUGAAUGAGGCAAUGCAAGAAGUGUUGAAAAAAGAGGUGAUCAAGUGGUUGGAUGCUGGGGUUGUGUACCCUAUCUCUAAUAGCUCUUAGACUUUGCUGGGCGUGCCUUCUACUCUUUCUUGGAUGGAUAUUUUGGGUACAACCAAAUCUUGAUUGCUCUGAAAGAUCAAGAUAAGACCAUAUUCAUUUGUCCAUAUUGAACCUUUGCCUUUUC
rnacentral:lncRNA from 1 species